UACGAAGGGUGCAAGCGUUACUCGGAAUUACUGGGCGUAAAGCGUGCGUAGGUGGUGAGUUAAGUCUGUCGUGAAAGCCCCGGGCUCAACCUGGGAAUGGCGAUGGAUACUGGCUCGCUAGAGUGCGGUAGAGGAGAGUGGAAUUCCUAGUGUAGCGGUGAAAUGCGUAGAGAUUAGGAAGAACACCAGUGGCGAAGGCGACUCUCUGGACCGUAACUGACGCUGAGGCAUGAAAGCGUGGGGAGCAAACAGG
rnacentral:rRNA from 1 species